UGGGGAAUUUUGGACAAUGGGCGCAAGCCUGAUCCAGCCAUGCCGCGUGCGGGAAGAAGGCCUUCGGGUUGUAAACCGCUUUGUCAGGGAAGAAAUCUUCUGAGUUAAUACCUCGGGAGGAUGACGGUACCUGAAGAAUAAGCACCGGCUAACUACGUGCCAGCAGCCGCGGUAAUACGUAGGGGUGCAAGCGUUAAUCGGGAAUUACUGGGCGUAAAGCGUGCGCAGGCGGUUUUGUAAGACAGAGGUGAAAUCCCCGGGCUCAACCUGGGAACUGCCUUUGUGACUGCAAGGCUUGAGUGCGGCAGAGGGGGAUGGGAAUUCCGCGUGUAGCAGUGAAAUGCGUAGAUAUGCGGAGGAACACCGAUGGCGAAGGCAAUCCCCUGGGCCUGCACUGACGCUCAUGCACGAAAGCGUGGGGAGCAAAC
rnacentral:rRNA from 1 species